CAUUUGGGCAGAAGAUCCUCCUCGGAUCAUCACUGGGGCUGGGCAACCUCAUUUCACAGCAUUGACUGCAAGCUGCAACUCUUCGGAUGCUCUGUGGUGUGGGCACCUUCAUCAUGCCAUGUUUCCAGCCAGUGCUGUCAGAUUCCACAGCUGAAUAAAUCCAGAAGCCCCAGUAGUGAAACAACCUUCCCUAGGCUCAGAGAACCUCUGCUGCAACAGCCACCAUGGUCCUGGAGCAUUUCCCAUCCUCUUUCUCUCUCCAGCUGGAAGGGGAAAUUCCAAAGAUCCCAUUUUCCUGCAGCCACAUAAAAACAGUGUGCUUUGAUCACCAAAGCCUGGAUGAGAGUCAUCCGGGGACAGGAGCACAGGCUGGGAGGAUUCAUAAGAUGUUUGGUUGCAUUGGCCGCAUCUUCUCUUUCCUGCCUUUGGUUCCUCUUUCUUCAUGGGAGAGAAGUUUAUGAUCUUUUUGUAGUCUUCGGAAGCCAGCCCUGCAGUGGGACAGGGCAGCCAACCCACACUGGAUUAGAUCCCAAAUCACAGCAGG